AACGAACGCUGCGGCAUGCCUAACACAUGCAAGUCGAACGAUUGCCUUCGGGUGAUAGUGGCGCACGGGUGCGUAACGCGUGGGAAUCUGCCCUUAGGUUCGGAAUAACAGCUGGAAACGGCUGCUAAUACCGGAUGAUAUCGCGAGAUCAAAGAUUUAUCGCCUGAGGAUGAGCCCGCGUUGGAUUAGGUAGUUGGUGGGGUAAAGGCCUACCAAGCCGACGAUCCAUAGCUGGUCUGAGAGGAUGAUCAGCCACACUGGGACUGAGACACGGCCCAGACUCCUACGGGAGGCAGCAGUGGGGAAUAUUGGACAAUGGGCGCAAGCCUGAUCCAGCAAUGCCGCGUGAGUGAUGAAGGCCCUAGGGUUGUAAAGCUCUUUUACCCGGGAAGAUAAUGACUGUACCGGGAGAAUAAGCCCCGGCUAACUCCGUG
rnacentral:rRNA from 1 species